ACACCGGACAGGGCCAGCUAUUUACAGCAAAGCAAGGGAAGGAUGGGACACCUGCAUCCUCCCUUUGGUCCUUGAAGGCCAUGUGAUGUUCCUGUAGCAGGAGAUUUACCUGUUUAAGCUCAAAAACAUCUGUGUUAUUUUCAGCAAAAUCCUGACUGCAUCUCAAUAAAAAUACCAUCUAGUUCAACUAAGGUAAUUUUCAAAAUACAGUCCCAACACAGGAUUUACUCUUCGAUUGGUUUAGUAGAAGAUAAGAUGCUGUUGCUCAUUGUUGUUUUGUUUUUCUUUAAAAAUCCAUUAACUUCUCUGCAGAUCUUUAAAUAUUUAUAAGAUUUAAAUAAUCUUUUAAAGCAUCCUCAGAGAAGACAUUGACUCUUUUAGUUAAAUAGUUCUUAUUUUUCUGGUAGGGGAAUCAUUUAAGUACUUAGCCAACUAAUUCCCCAAUUUAAUCACAAUAUUUUUAUACUCAGAUGUCUAUUUUGUGUAAGCAAAGAGAAAUACAAGAGAAAAAGUUGUUAUAUUUAUGGGUACACUGACUAAUUCCACAAAGGGGAUAUUAUGCAGAGAUUUUGGAGCUGCCUGUAAAUUGAAGAUGCUUUUAAAUAAACACCUCAGGAGCUCAUACCCCUCUAAAUAUUUAUAUUGCAAGGAAAGUUUUGCCACAAAAUAUUUCUCAUCUUCUCCUUUCUCCCUUAGAGCUGUCUGAAGUGUUCUGGCUGUUUGCAAUAGGGAUGCUGGAGAUUACACAAAAUCACCCAUGGAAGGAGCCAUGAAGUUUUUGGUGAAAGCCAGAAUUAGAGCCAAUUCCAGAGAUGGAGCAAUAUUCCCCCCUUUGUUCACAGCUCACGUGCUGCAAGCAUGGUCUACAAAAGCAAAGGUUGGUCUCUCCAAUGCCAGCAGAUGAAAGGACAUUCAGCUCCUGCUCUGAGCAGCAUUUUCAUUUCCUCUGGGUCUUGGGGAGCUCCUGCGAUGACCAGCGCCCUGUGCAGCCAUGCCUCCUCAUCUUUUGGCACCCCAGACACCC